CGGGAUACCAGCCCUGCCAGACCUCAGCCCCCUGUGGUGGGCCAUUCUUCACACCCCUAACCAGAGGGGCCUAAUCUCAGGAGGGGAGCGAGACUGCUGGCAUGCCAACCAGGGGGCCAGAAAGGGGAAGGGGAAAGAGCAGGGCGCUGGGAGGUGUGAGUCCAGGAGGGAGGGCCCCUCGCUUGGGAGCUAGUGAGUCACCUUGGGCAAGUCACCUAGCCUGUCCCAGCCUGUUUCUCAUCUGGAAAGUGGGGCGACUAGGAAUACCAGUCUCUCAGGAGUGAACCGCAGGAGUAAAGGAAGUCCAGGAUAGGAAGGGAUGCGGUAAGUGACCCAAUGCUCUUCACUGGUGUGGAACUGUCUUUGGGACCUCCCCUCCCCCCACCUAGAGACCCAGGCAAUUGUUGGGUGUUGGUGGGGGGAGGGGAGAUCCCUGCUUGCUCAAGAACGACCUAGUGGAGCAGUUCCUAUGGGACAGCUCCUGGGACCUGUGGGCUUUCCGAAGGAGGGAGCCCCUAUCCUGCUCCUCUUACCCACGUGUACCUCUGGCCAGCCAGGUUGUCCCCAAGAGCACUUUCUAACCAACAUCCUACACGCCAAGUUCCAUCUCUGAGUCUGCUUCCCAGGGCCCUCGCUGGAUUACAAAGCCCUGCGGAGCUUCUUGAGGACGGCAACAGCGUCUUAACGACUUCUGCAUCUCCAGCAGCUCUCACUGGGCAGGGUGCAUUGUGGAUGCUCCAGAAACAUCUACUGAAUGCAUUUUAAUGCAUUUUCUCUUGGUUCUCUGUUCUGUCCCUCUGUCGUCCCAGCAGGAGAGUUCUCAUCAGACAUCCAGGAGAAAGGGACGGCCCCACCAGCAGGAUGCCAGUGGGACCAGGGCUGUGGGCCUGUUUCUGGGAAAUGUACCAUUUGCCAAUGAAACCGUAACCAACCAUGGGAACAGAAUUCAAGCUAACUGGUUACUACAAAGUGGGGGCAAAGGGGCCUGGCUGAUGCCAGGGCUGUGUGGUUAGGGUGAAAGCUCAAGGGGAUGGCUGGGAGGCUGGAGGCUGGCAGGAAUGGGUGACGGCGGUGGUGGUGAAUUGUGGGGUGAAUCAUUUGGAUGUCAGACUGCCCCAGAACCCGGAAAAUCUCCACUUCAGUUUUUCUUUUUUUUUUUUUGGAAGAUUAGCCCUGAGCUAACGUCUGUUGCCAAUCCUCCUUUUUUUGCUGAGGAAGACUGGCUCUGAGCUAACAUCCAUGCCCAUCUUCCUCUACUUUAUAUGUGGGAUGCCUGUUACAGCAUGGCCUGCCAAGCUGUAGAUAAGUCCACACCUGGGGUCCGAACUAGCAAACCCCAGGUUGCUGAAGUAGAACGUGCAAACUUAACCGCUGGGCCACCGAGUUGGCCCCUUAACUUCAGUUUCUACAGUUGGAAAUUCCUUCACAGAAUAAGUAUCUAUGGAGUGCCUUCUCCAUGCCAGACACUGUCGCAAAGAUGGCGCCCUUCAAAGGCCAGGACUCCAAUGCCUGCUCCUCUUCUCACUCUGUCACCCAGGCAAGCACAUUACAUCCUCUUUGCUGACAUCUGCUGAGUGGUAAUCAGUGAGCACCCAGCACUGUGCUAACUCUUUACACACAAUGUGUCAUUUCAUCUUCAUAACAGCUUCAUCAGGAGAUAUGUGU
ensembl:lncRNA